rnacentral:rRNA from 1 species
GAUGAACGCUGGCGGCGUGCCUAAUACACGCAAGUCGAGCGAACAGACGAGGAGCUUGCUCCUCUGACGUUAGCGGCGGACGGGUGAGUAACACGUGGAUAACCUACCUAUAAGACUGGGAUAACUUCGGGAAACCGGAGCUAAUACCGGAUAAUAUAUUGAACCGCAUGGUUCAAUAGUGAAAGACGGUUUUGCUGUCACUUAUAGAUGGAUCCGCGCCGCAUUAGCUAGUUGGUAAGGUAACGGCUUACCAAGGCAACGAUGCGUAGCCGACCUGAGAGGGGGAUCGGCCACACUGGAACUGAGACACGGUCCAGACUCCUACGGGAGGCAGCAGUAGGGAAUCUUCCGCAAUGGGCGAAAGCCUGACGGAGCAACGCCGCGUGAGUGAUGAAGGUCUUCGGAUCGUAAAACUCUGUUAUUAGGGAAGAACAAAUGUGUAAGUAACUAUGCACGUCUUGACGGUACCUAAUCAGAAAGCCACGGCUAACUACGUG